UCCAUGUGUAGCGGUGAAAUGCGUAGAUAUAUGGAGGAACACCNGUGGCGAAAGCGGCUCUCUGGUCUGUCACUGACGCUGAGGCUCGAAAGCGUGGGUAGCGAACAGGAUUAGAUACCCUGGUAGUNCACGCCGUAAACGAUGAGUGCUAGGUGUUAGGCCCUUUCCGGGGCUUAGUGCCGGAGCUAACGCAAUAAGCACUCCGCCUGGGGAGUACGACCGCAAGGUUGAAACUCAAAGGAAUUGACGGGGGCCCGCACAAGCGGUGGAGCAUGUGGUUUAAUUCGAAGCAACGCGAAGAACCUUACCAGGUCUUGACAUCCCGAUGCUAUUCUUAGAGAUAGGAAGUUACUUCGGUACAUCGGAGACAGGUGGUGCAUGGUUGUCGUCAGCUCGUGUCGUGAGAUGUUGGGUUAAGUCCCGCAACGAGCGCAACCCUUAUUGUUAGUUGCCAUCAUUAAGUUGGGCACUCUAGCGAGACUGCCGGUAAUAAACCGGAGGAAGGUGGGGAUGACGUCAAAUCAUCAUGCCCCUUAUGACCUGGGCUACACACGUGCUACAAUGGUCGGUACAACGAGUUGCGAGCCGGUGACGGCAAGCUAAUCUCUGAAAGCCGAUCUCAGUUCGGAUUGGAGGCUGCAACUCGCCUCCAUGAAGUCGGAAUCGCUAGUAAUCGCGGAUCAGCACGCCGCGGUGAAUACGUUCCCGGGCCUUGUACACACCGCCCGUCACACCACGAGAGUUUGUAACACCCGAAGUCGGUGAGGUAACCUUUUAGGGGCCA
rnacentral:rRNA from 1 species